rnacentral:rRNA from 1 species
AUUGAACGCUGGCGGCAGGCCUAACACAUGCAAGUCGAACGAGUGGCGGACGGGUGAGUAAUGUCUGGGAAACUGCCUGAUGGAGGGGGAUAACUACUGGAAACGGUAGCUAAUACCGCAUACCAUCAGAUGUGCCCAGAUGGGAUUAGCUAGUGGGUGAGGUAACGGCUCACCUAGGCGACGAUCCCUAGCUGGUCUGAGAGGAUGCCCAGACACAAUGGAAAGGAGAGACGGUCCAGACUCCUACGGGAGGCAGCAGAGGGAAAAAGUGCAGAAUGGGCGCAAGCCUGAUGCAGCCAUGCCGCGUUUAUGAAGAAGGCCUUCUGGUUGUAAAGUACUUGCAGCGGGGAGGCGUUACCCGCAGAAGAAGCACCGGCUAACGCCGUGCUAGCAGCCGCGGUAAUAC